ACACAGGGGCCUACAUAAGAGUUACUGAUGAUGGUGUAAUCUGUCUCGUGGAGCCUUCUGCCAUAACACACCUCCAUGCUGUUGAUGAUGAUGAAGACACCUUAUCAGCUGCCACAGAGAGGGAAGUAAUAACUUUGGUUUCAGUUAAUUGUUCCACAAUGCAACUUGCAACUUCUUUCUCUCUAACAGAGCAAUGCCGGAAGUUACAAUCAGGAAGAAGGUCCAUCAACCUCCACAGCACAGCUUACCUCACUCCCUGUGAAACAACUUUACAAAGUAUAUUUAGAAUCCCAAAUAAACAAAUCACACCUAGAAGUGGAGCACAUAAGGCUGCAGAUCAUCAAAACAAAAAAGGAAAUACAACUGCUGGACCAUCAGUUAAAGGUGGGUGACGUGCCCACAGGGGGAUGUUUUUUAAUUGUUUCAACAACAAAGGAUUAACAACUGUACAACAUUUGCCCUUCUAGGAAAUAAAGAAGACCCCAUAAAAUGAG